AAGGCUCUUCCGCUCCCUCUUGCAGGCAUGCUUAGCACCUGGAUUGCUAAUACAAUAGAAAUGAAUAUUUAAUACCUGCGUAGUGGGGAGGAGGGCAUGGCCAAAACGCUUCCGAUCUGAAUUCAUGACAGCCGCCUUUCGGAACUGGAAUCGUUAGACGAAGCCUUUACAAGACCCGGUAUUUUCUUCAGCUACGGUUUCCCCUCUGCCUUUCCCGGCUAGAGUUGCAGCAUAUCCCACCUUUGCCUAAAUGACUGCAUGCUAGCACCUAAAACCAGGACCUUGCCCUAGGGAUGUCCGAAGAUGCUCAGGGCUGCUCACAUGCAUGCUCUGUGCGGCAGUCGCUGCCUAGCAGCCAUCGUGGCCGCUUCUUCCUGGGAAGUGGGGGGUGUGCAGGGAAGAUAUCCAGGCUCAGGAUGCUUUGGACUUGGGGUGAGAGCCGGGUGCUGGAGGGCCCGAUCCCGCAGCUCGGGGCUCAGUCCCGCCACCCCGCAGUGGCCUCUGGACUAUCGCAUCAGCCUUGUGCCACCCCCACAUCUCCUCCAGCAUCUUCCAACCGGUCUCCCUCGCUCUGCCCCCGCCCGCGCCUCCGAUCCCUGGGAUAUUCGGUUUCUUUUCCUUUCUCAAUGUGUGUUCCUGAUGUGGUCCUGUCGGAAAAGCUCGUUUACUCUGCCCGGGUCUCCAGUGGUUUAAGGAUAAUGUUUAUCAGAAGUGAACGUGCUCAACUUGUUUCCAUUUAACUGCUGAGUGCGGGCUGAAAUAACAAAGGUCACAUCCACAGUGAGUCGGCAGAGGGCAGGGGGAGCCGCGAGGGGGAGGAAAACAUUAUCAUAUACAACGGCCUGUUGAUCGCGGGGACCUGCCUGGCAAAAAGAUUAAUUUCAGCUCUCAGGUGGCAGCACUAGCUGGAGGUUGCGGCUCACUGAGACAUCCCCGCGUGCGGGCACCCCAGACCCGCGUUGGCAGUAGAAAUCACCGAUGGAUCUGCGCACGCUGCGAUUUCGACACGGGCUACACGCGCUUUCCGGACCCGACCUUGGCGGCUUUUCAGCUGCAUUGCAAAGCGGUCGAAAGAAACGACAAAGCCUCUCGCCUGUUCCCAGUGCGCUGCUUUUCGUUGAUCUUUAAAGGAACCCAAAUCACCUUCCCCGCCCCGCCAGUACAGACUGUGAUUGAAAAGCACGAGCUCACGUAAGGCAUAACGGGCUAGAUCUUUUAUUGAAAACCCUUUUGUAUAGAGCACGCCUAACGCCGGCUCUCAGCGAGAGGCAGAGUUUCCUGGAUGUGCUUCAGCGGCUGGAAAAGCCUGGCACCUGGUGUCACUCCGGGGCUCCCGCGGCGCAGAGACACGCGGGUUGCCUGCCCCCGCUGCGCAGGGAGGCGAUGGACUGCAGCUCCUGCCCGGGCGCCGCGGCUGAGGCUGCCGGGGCUGGAGCGCCCGGGCGCGGCGGGCAGCCUAGAGCGCCCCGCGCCGGGCAACGAGCGCGCCGAGACUGGGCAGCGGGGUUGCAAGCUCCUCGGAGCGACUGGCAGAGCGAGCAAGCAGCUGGGGCAGGACUGGCGGGAGGGCGGAGGGAAGGUGUUUGUGGACACAGCUGGCGGUGAAGAGACUAAAGGAGCUCCGUGUGGGCUUUUCCCGAGGAGGAGGGGAGCCAGCCCGGGCCACUGGCCACUGAGUGCAAACAGGACCUUUGGUCUGGCCCACUUGGGCAUCCUGUUAGGGCUGGGGCUGGGGGCAGCAGAAUGACCCCGAACCCGUGCCCACAGUGGCAGGAGGCGUAGACAGAUGCGGUUAUUUUAACCAACUGGAAACCAAUUACAGUCUUUUUUAAAAUGUGCUCUGCCACCGAAUUGGAGAAGGAGCCGGGGCUGGAGUGACAGGGGGCGGUGUAUUGUGAGAGCUGAUUACUCUGCGUACAAUGCGACACGUUGCAGGAAGAAUCAUAUGUAAGACUGGGUUUAUUUUUUAAAAAGAAUAUAAGCUGCCCCCCCCCCCCCCCCGCCGUCUUCUGAUCAAACCGCCCGGUGGGGGACUAAAGGGCUAACAUAACUCUAAAUAGUCAUCUGUUUCCGCGCCUGGCUAGUAUAGGGGAUUUUUCUGAAAUGUCUCCCAGCAUAGAAGAGGGAUCUUGGACUCUGUACCUUGCCUUAGAUGGACACGGAGAGACCUAGUUCAAGAUGGCCUUUUGCUAGAGGCCAGUGUGUUGAGUACUCAGACACAGAGAAGAGAUGGCAUCUUUCUGAUGUGCUGGUGGGGAGGAGGGGUUGACCAAAGGUGCCUCCUGGGACUCUCUGUGGCAUUGCACGGGGUCUCCCCCCCCCACACACACACACUUUGAUUGCUUGCUGGACCUCCCCCCCCCCCCCCACGGCCUAUUUCUACACUACAGUGUUCUCAGAUGUACUACCCCCCCCACCUACCUUUACACAAAACGCACUUAAAACAAAGUCCCUGAAAGCCUCGCUGCUGAAAGUGUCUUUCAACAUAAUAGAGACGAAGAGCUUUUCGAAAGCGAGCUCUUCUCCUAGCCGGAGAGCCGCCAUCCAAACUUUUGCAGCAGUGACUGAGCAGCAACUACAAAUCGAGCGUGCAGCUUGCGCCGCCCCGCAGCCCCGGGCGCUGGCGGCUCUUCCAGGCCUUCUGCGUGCGGAGCAGGGGCCGUGGGAAGAGGGAUCCCGGCUACACGGUGCAGAUCACACUUUUUAUCCAUGGUAUUAGCCUCUUCGCCUUUUGUAUCCUCAGCUCUGCAGUCCCCGGGGAGUUCUGAUACACUUGUUUUUUCUGGGUUUUAAGAACGAAUGCAUAUGUCCUGGACCUAUGUAGAGGCACAGAUUCAUACAGAUAUCUCGCUGCGGGGCAUGGGGAAUCGCCGCACCCACGGCUCAGGAGGGGACGCUGUGCGCUGCCCUGUUCUGAUCAGCCUUCGACCAGCUCCAGAAAUGGACUUUUUGCCAUGCUCUCCAGCCUCCUCCUCCGGGGACCUUCUGCUCCCUCAGGUGGUGGCGAGGCCCUCACUGUGGGGCUAAGAAAUCCCCAGUCCCCAAAGCCUGGUGCAUGUCAGGACACUUCGGGACACCCCCUAAGGCAACAGGCAGCCAGCAUGACAGCAGGGGGGCUCGAUGUGCCGGCCGGGCUGAGCGGGGACAGCACGGGGAAGCUUCCUGAGAGGGUUUACCUUUCCUGCGGCUUGAGGGACAGGAGGCUGGAGCUGCCCCUGCGGAGAGAUGGUGACAGAGGAGGAGUCCACCAGGCAGGUCCGCGGGACGUGUCUCCAGGGUCUCUUGGAAAGCAGGAGAGUGUCUGUCGCUGCACUGAUCAAGGCCAAAACGACAUCCCUAAGCCAGGCAGCGGGGGCGCUCCCUCGGCUGCAUCAGAAACUCCCCGCAGUUCAUCGCAGCUCAACCUCCAAACUUCAGGACAGCCCUGGCCUUAAAGAGUAGCGGGUGCCUAAGCAGAGACUUGGUGUGGUGGCCUGGGGGCAUCUCAGGGCUCUGCCUCCCCAGUGAUGAUCUGAUCUGCUCGCCAGAUCAGCUUUCACUGCAGUUUACGGAACACCGCUCACGUACCAAAACCCACUGAAAUAAACUGCACAAUGCUGGCCUGAUUCCCUUAGUGUCAUCACAACCCCAUCAGCCAGCGGUGCAAACAGCGUCUAACUGCGCCUCGCACUAAGCCCUCUCCCAUCACCAAGCGCAACUCCCCUAUGUACAGAGGCAAGACAGGACGGGGACGUCUGCUAAGCACAACACCUAAAUAAUAGCGUGCUGUUCUCCCCGUGCUUUUGUUAGCCGAGUUUCUCAAAAAUAGGCAGCCAAGGUAGUACACAGAAAGUUUGCGUGAGAUAUGGGCGUCUCUUCUCGACAGUAAAACCCUGCGGGAGCAACCACACGCAUUGUAAACAUCCAAGAAGACCAGGAUAAAUGCCAUUCUUGUUUAUGAUGUCCAGAGACACGAUUUAACCGUGAGGUUAUGAGCUUGACAAGUCCAGAGAAAGUUUCCUUUCCUUGGAGUCUCAGACCAGCAGAGACUCCUUAUGCCUGAAGAAGAGUGACUGCGCCCGAAAGCUCGCUAAGAACUUUUUUCCAACUACUCAGUUGGUCUAAUAAAAGAUAUCACAUCUA